UGUACCUCAAGAGGUCUAUCAGGUGUCUGCUGUGUCACAUGUGCGUCAGUAGGUGGCAGAGGGGAGAGAGGCUGUGUCUACUCUUCGUGUUCUUACCUACAAACAUCUCAAUGAUUAGUUCCUGAAAAA